rnacentral:rRNA from 1 species
GAUGAACGCUGGCGGCGUGCCUAACACAUGCAAGUCGAACGGAGUCCAGCCUUUAAGACCUUCGGGUCCAGGAGGGGAAGACUGAGUGGCGGACGGGUGAGUAACACGUGGGCAACCUGGCUCAUAGAGGGGGAUAACAGAGAGAAAUUUCUGCUAAUACCGCAUAAGCACACACUGCCGCAUGGCAGAGGGUGAAAAGAGAAUCGCUAUGAGAUGGACCCGCGUCUGAUUAGCCAGUUGGCAGGGUAAGAGCCUACCAAAGCGACGAUCAGUAGCCGAUCUGAGAGGAUGAACGGCCACAUUGGGACUGAGACACGGCCCAAACUCCUACGGGAGGCAGCAGUGGGGGAUAUUGCACAAUGGGGGGAACCCUGAUGCAGCGACGCCGCGUGAGUGAAGAAGUAUUUCGGUAUGUAAAGCUCUAUCAGCAGGGAAGAUAAUGACAGUACCUGAAUAAGAAGCCCCGGCUAACUACGUG